rnacentral:rRNA from 1 species
AGGGAUCAUUACCGAGUUUACAACUCCCAAACCCAAUGUGAACCAUACCAAACUGUUGCCUCGGCGGGGUCACGCCCCGGGUGCGUCGCAGCCCCGGAACCAGGCGCCCGCCGGAGGGGCCAACCAAACUCUUUUCUGUAGUCCCCUCGCGGACGUUAUUUCUUACAGCUCUGAGCAAAAAUUCAAAAUGAAUCAAAACUUUCAACAACGGAUCUCUUGGUUCUGGCAUCGAUGAAGAACGCAGCGAAAUGCGAUAAGUAAUGUGAAUUGCAGAAUUCAGUGAAUCAUCGAAUCUUUGAACGCACAUUGCGCCCGCCAGUAUUCUGGCGGGCAUGCCUGUCCGAGCGUCAUUUCAACCCUCGAACCCCUCCGGGGGGUCGGCGUUGGGGAUCGGGAACCCCUAAGACGGGAUCCCGGCCCCGAAAUACAGUGGCGGUCUCGCCGCAGCCUCUCCUGCGCAGUAGUUUGCACAACUCGCACCGGGAGCGCGGCGCGUCCACGUCCGUAAAACACCCAACUUCUGAAAUGUUGACCUCGGAUCAGGUAGGAAUACCCGCUGAACUUAA